GAUGAAGAACGCAGCGAAAUGCGAUAAGUAAUGUGAAUUGCAGAAUUCAGUGAAUCAUCGAAUCUUUGAACGCACAUUGCGCCUGCCAGUAUUCUGGCGGGCAUGCCUGUUCGAGCGUCAUUUCAACCCUCAAGCCCAGCUUGGUGUUGGGGAUCGGCACAGGCGCCCUCGGGCGCCCGCCGUCCCCUAAAUCUAGUGGCGGUCCCGCUGCAGCCUCCUCUGCGUAGUAGUUUUCUCCUCGCAAGGGCAGCUCGGUGGCGACCUCGCCGUAAAACCCCCAACUUCUGAAAGGUUGACCUCGAAUCAGGUAGGAAUACCCGCUGAACUUAAGCAUAUCAAUAAGCGGAGGA
rnacentral:misc_RNA from 1 species